UCUCCGUCAAUGUAAUGACAUAACAGGAAUACAAAAGCAACCCUCCCAAGUUAUAAUACCACAUAUUAAGAUCAAGCUAUAUCUGAUUGUGAAAUCGUAACUUUAUUUUCUUAUAUCCUCACAUUUUCAAAAGUCAGAUUGUUAAACUUGAUUCUUCAAACCUUUUACCCAACAAUCUCAUAGCCACCUAGUGGUCGGUGCUGCACUUAGCCCUUUAUCGAUCUCCGAUCUGCCCAACAAAUCUGUGGUUAGUUUUGCGGUAUAUAUAUAUAUUACAACAGCGUAGCAGCCAUUUUCCAAAGCCAUAUUUGAGAGAGAAGAAUAAGAAGCUAAGCAAAAGAUGAGUGAGGCGCCCAAGUACGCUUAUCCCUACCCUGCUCAAGGUUACUAUCAAGGCCCUCCGGUGAUGCCGCCGCCGCAGUACUACGCUGCUCCGCCACCCCCCAGGAGAGAAACUGGUUUUCUCGAAGGCUGUUUGGCAGCUCUGUGUUGCUGCUGGCUGUUAGAUGAGUGCUGCUGCGACCCCUCCAUCGUCUUCAUCAGCUGAUUAUUAUAUAUAUAGCUAAGUUAGUAUAUGCUGAUAUGCAUGGAGAUUGGUAUUACAAUUAGUGAUUAUAUGUUGUAGUAAGUUAUUAUCAGAUCUGUUUAAAUAAAUCUGCAGUGAUUUGAUGAUGUUUUUAGUUGUUAAUCAGGCUAAGAGAGCUUAAUUAGUUUGAUCUUGAAUAUAAUGUGAAAUGUGAGACCUUAGGGCUUUCAUGUCCAAAUUACACUAUCACUAAAAUUGACUCAUUUCUGGCUA